GAUGAACGCUGGCGGCGUGCCUAAUACAUGCAAGUCGAACGCUUCACUUCGGUGAAGAGUGGCGAACGGGUGAGUAAUACAUAAGUAACCUGGCAUCUACAGGGGGAUAACUGAUGGAAACGUCAGCUAAGACCGCAUAGGUGUAGAGAUCGCAUGAACUCUAUAUGAAAAGUGCUACGGGACUGGUAGAUGAUGGACUUAUGGCGCAUUAGCUGGUUGGUAGGGUAACGGCCUACCAAGGCGACGAUGCGUAGCCGACCUGAGAGGGUGACCGGCCACACUGGGACUGAGACACGGCCCAGACUCCUACGGGAGGCAGCAGUAGGGAAUUUUCGGCAAUGGGGGAAACCCUGACCGAGCAACGCCGCGUGAAGGAAGAAGUAAUUCGUUAUGUAAACUUCUGUCAUAGAGGAAGAACGGUGGAUAUAGGGAAUGAUAUCCAAGUGACGGUACUCUAUAAGAAAGCCACGGCUAACUACGUGCCAGCAGCCG
rnacentral:rRNA from 1 species